rnacentral:rRNA from 1 species
AUUGAACGCUGGCGGAAUGCUUUACACAUGCAAGUCGAACGGCAGCAUAGGUGCUUGCACCUGAUGGCGAGUGGCGAACGGGUGAGUAAUACAUCGGAACGUGCCCAGUCGUGGGGGAUAACGUAGCGAAAGUUACGCUAAUACCGCAUACGAUCUAAGGAUGAAAGCGGGGGACCGUAAGGCCUCGCGCGAUUGGAGCGGCCGAUGUCAGAUUAGGUAGUUGGUGAGGUAAAGGCUCACCAAGCCGACGAACUGUAGCUGGUCUGAGAGGCCGACCAGCCACACUGGGACUGAGACACGGCCCAGACUCCUACGGGAGGCAGCAGUGGGGAAUUUUGGACAAUGGACGCAAGUCUGAUCCAGCCAUUCCGCGUGCAGGACGAAGGCCUUCGGGUUGUAAACUGCUUUUGUACGGAACGAAAAAGCUCUUACUAAUACUAGGAGUCCAUGACGGUACCGUAAGAAUAAGCACCGGCUAACUACGUGCCAGCAGCCGCCGUAA